ensembl:lncRNA
AUGACAAGUCAUUAAAAAAAAGUCUUAGAUAUGAAUUACACAUAUCUAAGAAAAAAAAAGUCAAAUAACCAAUUUUAGAAAACACAUACAUACACAAGAUGUCACAUCCAUUAUGGUACCAGGUUUUUACUCAGUGUGUUAGCUCCUUUUCUUGGAUAAACAGAUUGAGGUAAACCACAAUUUUUACAACAGCUCAGAUUCCAUCACAAUCUACAGGUCAUUGAAAUGUGUGGAGAACAGAAAGAAAGAGAUGUAUUUUAGAAAAAAAAUGACUAAAAAUUAAAAUCAACUAAGAACGUGACCAGUAAUCUAUGACACACGUGGGCUAAAUACAGUCCAAGGACCUUCUCAAUUGCAGCUGACAUCUUUUAAAAAAAACAAACGUACAAAAAAAAAAUCAAUAAGAGCUGACGUGAAUAAAUCAUGCUAAAUAUACUGACAAUGAUGGAGUAAGUGUCUCCCGUCUCUCCACUGAGUUUCUUACCCUGUAUAUGGAUUUAACAGCAGACUCCAAUGGUCCCUGGUUCUGUUCUGCAGCCUCAGUAAGCUAACAGCAGCAGAUGAACCAGUUAUCACGAGCUGUACAGGGACCCUCCAUUGAACUACUGUAAUGCACUGUAUACUGGAGUUAGCCAAUCAUCUUUUACCCAUUUACAAUUAGUCCAAAAUGCUGCAGCCAGAUUACUGAAUGGGACAAACAAAGAAUGAUCACAUAACUCCGGUGUUAGCAGUCGUGCACUGGGUGGAGUACACAAUCCAGACUAAAGGUACGAAACGCUUUGAUUAUAAAUGUGCUGUAUAUAUAAAAUUUACUUACAUACUUACUUAGGCUGCGUCCACACGUACACGGGUAUUUUUGAAAACUGAGAUUUUCCGUUUUCGUUUAAAAAAAAAAAUCCCCUCCACACGUAAAGGCAAAAACAAAGAAAAACGCUGCUAGGAACAUGCCAAAGCAACAGGUGGCUAUCUAUUCCUAACCGUGUACAAAUGUUGGCCAAUCAGAAGUCUACAAGCCUGGGUGGGAAAGAGUAAACCAAGAUGGCGCAUAGAAGCAGAACCGAGUACUAUGUGUGGAGGGACAGAAACUGCGUUGUAUAUGUAAGCAUGUAAACACUGCAGAGAGUAUAAUUAACAGUAACAGUAUUUUGUCUAAGUCUG